rnacentral:rRNA from 1 species
CCUACGGGAGGCAGCAGUGAGGAAUAUUGGUCAAUGGACGAGAGUCUGAACCAGCCAAGCAGCGUGAAGGAUGACUGCCCUAUGGGUUGUAAACUUUUUUUAUAAAGGAAUAAAACGAGGCACGUGUGCCUUUUUGCAUGUACUUUAUGAAUAAGGAUCGGCUAACGCCGUGCCAGCAGCCGCGGUAAUACGGAGGAUCCGAGCGGUAUCCGGAUUUAUUGGGUUUAAAGGGAGCGUAGAUGGGUUGUUAAGUCAGUUGUGAAAGUUUGGGGCUAAACCGUAAAAUUGCAAUUGAUCCUGGCAGUCUUGAGUACAGUUGAGGUAGGCGGAAUUCGUGGUGUAGCGGUGAAAUGCUUAGAUAUCACGAAGAACCCCGAUUGCGAAGGCAGCUUACUAAACUGUGACUGACAUUGAUGCUCGAAAGUGUGGGUAGCAAACAGGAUUAGAUACCCUAGUAGUC